AACACCAAUUGCGAAGGCAGCUGUCUAGACUACAACUGACGCUGAGGCACGAAAGCGUGGGUAGCGAACAGGAUUAGAUACCCUGGUAGUCCACGCUGUAAACGAUGAUCACUCGUUGUUGGCUACUUAGUAGUCAGUGACUAAGGGAAACCGAUAAGUGAUCCACCUGGGGAGUACGUCGGCAACGAUGAAACUCAAAGGAAUUGACGGGGGCCCGCACAAGCGGAGGAACAUGUGGUUUAAUUCGAUGAUACGCGAGGAACCUUACCUGGGCUUAAAUGCUGGCUGCAUUCACGCGAAAGCGUGAUUUCCUACGGGACCGCCAGCAAGGUGCUGCAUGGUUGUCGUCAGCUCGUGCCGUGAGGUGUCGGGUUAAGUCCCAUAACGAGCGCAACCCCUAUCGUUAGUUGCCAGCAUGUAAUGGUGGGGACUCUAACGAGACUGCCGGUGUAAACCGGAGGAAGCUGGGGAUGACGUCAAAUCAGCACGGCCCUUACGUCCAGGGCUACACACGUGUUACAAUGGCCGGUACAAAGAGCAGCCACCUGGCGACAGGGUGCUAAUCUCUAAAACCGGUCUCAGUUCGGAUCGAAGUCUGCAAUUCGACUUCGUGAAGAUGGAUUCGCUAGUAAUCGCGCAUCAGCCAUGGCGCGCUGACUAAGUUCCCGGGCAUGUACACACCGCCCGUCAAGCCAUGGAAGCCGGGGGUACCUGAAGUCCGUAA
rnacentral:rRNA from 1 species